rnacentral:lncRNA from 1 species
AUGAUAGCUGAAGAAGUGUUUCCCCAGAUCCAAGUUGCCAAUCCUCAGGCGGGGGGUGAGGAUCAGCCUCCAAUCCUGUACGUUUUUCGUCCUUGGACCCUCGCGGAGGCCGCGAAUGCUGUAGCCGGCAUUCCUCCACCGGAGGAUGAUCCAGAGGAAUGGAUAAAAUGUAUGAGAGAGCUGAUAGACUCCUACCGCUUGAAUGGACAGGAAGCAGGGGAAGCUAUGCAAUCAUCAUUGAAAAUUAAAUGGGGGAGAGUAAAGGGUAAUUACAUAGGGAGAAAUGGUGUAGGGACAGUGUUUGAAUAUUCAGCCGAUGGACUGCUAACGGGAGACUAUAAAGAGGCUCUCGAUGCAAUAGCAACUAGAGUGAAGGCUGCUUUUGCGCUCACCGCGAACUACUCUCGCAUAGCUGCCAUAAAACAGAAACCAGACGAGGAUCCUGAGGAUUUUAGGGCCCGAAUGGAACCCGUGUUCCGUGCUAAUAGUGGUAUAGCAUUUAGUGAAAUUAAAACUGAUGCAUACCAACAACAACUCAAACACGCUAUUAUGCAUGGUUUACACCCAGAUGUUGCAGGCUGGGUCCGCAAACAUUUCAUUGAAUUUGACACCGCGGACGUUCCUACCACUAUGCAGUGGGUCCGCCAUGCAACCAAACACUUAGACUCCAAGAAUAAGAAAGGGAAAAGAGGAAAAGGAGCGAACACAUUUUUCUAUGAUGACGAAGACUGUGAUGCUUUCCUCAAUGACAGCCCAGAUUGUCACACAGUGGAAACGAAGGGGGAUGAUAACCUCAACAGGGAAGCCUGUCCUCGGGAUGUUUUGGCAAUUCUGACACAUACUCAGCAGAGGCAAUACACCCUCUUAUCACCCUCGAUGUCCUCCGUGACAUGCAGACCUCUGCUCCUGAUAAUGAAAAACAGUAUUGGGUCAAACAAGGCGCUGAAACCGACAAAACAGGACUGUGUACACAGGCUAACAAACCUAUUCUCCCUAAAAACUUGUACAAAGCUGCUGCCAUUUUGA